GGAAGUGCCCUGCAGAGGACCUGGACCUGCUGGGCUGGGCAUGAACGACUUGCUGUGGAGCCAGGAGCCGAGGAGACCCAUCCGACAGCAAACGGAGCUGCCAGAAGAAAAUUAAGAUAAACCCUGUUUGGAACAAAGAGAGCUGUGGGCUGCUUCUUUAGAGCUUCAUGACUGGACCUUCUUAAGGUUGCCACUGGCUGACUCCCUCUGCCUUCCAGACGGAGAUGUCUCUCACCAUCAAGCAGAGGCCAGCCAGCACUCAGGAGAUGAAUCUGCCCCAGGUUGUCCAGCUUCAAGACAAGAGCGAGACCUCUAUCACAAGGAUUAUUUCCACCAGCUCCUCUGCACCACUGAAAGGGAAGUUCAUUGAGCCAAUUUGGGCCAUUGGUGCCCGAGCCAUCCUGGACUUCCCUGGCCAGCUGGACUUCAGUCUGUUGGGUCAAGCGCAGCACCCAGAAGACUCUGCUGGUUGGAAACCAGGGCAGCUGUUACCAGCUGAGCACCCAGAGGUGAGGCAGCUCAGCUUUUGUUGUGCAAAACACCUUUGGGUGAUAACAGAGUUGGUAAAGAGCAAC